CCCCUAAACCAGGCGAUCUACCCAUGGUCAGAUUGAAGUCCAGAGAACACUGAAUGGAGGACCGAACAGACUUACGUUGAAAUGCGAGCGGAUGAACAGAGGGCAGCGGAGGAAUUCCAAUAGAACCAGGAGACAGCUGGUGCUCUCCGAAAUAGCUUUAGGGCACGCCUCAAGUGAUGACUAUUGCAGGUAGAGCACUGUUUGGAAGAGGGGCCCCUCUCGAGAUACCGAAUUCAGACAAUCUCCGAAUGCCAAUUAAUUUAACUUGGGAGUCAGAACAUGGGUGAUAAGGUCCGUGUUCGAAAGGGAAACAGCCCAGACCACCAGCUAAGGUCCCAAAAUAUAUGUUAAGUGGAAAAGGAUGUGGCGUUGCCCAGACAACUAGGAUGUUGGCUUAGAAGCAGCCAUCAUUUAAAGAGUGCGUAAUAGCUCACUAGUCGAGUGACACUGCGCCGAAAAUGUACCGGGGCUAAAC
rnacentral:rRNA from 1 species